CAGUCGCCGCGGUAAUACGGAGGGUGCAAGCGUUAAUCGGAAUUACUGGGCGUAAAGCGCACGCAGGCGGUCUGACAAGUCAGAUGUGAAAUCCCCGGGCUUAACCUGGGAACUGCAUUUGAAACUGUCAGGCUGGAGUCUUGUAGAGGGGGGUGGAAUUCCAGGUGUAGCGGUGAAAUGCGUAGAGAUCUGGAGGAAUACCGGUGGCGAAGGCGGCCCCCUGGACAAAGACUGACGCUCAGGUGCGAAAGCGUGGGGAGCAAACAGGAUUAGAUACCCGCGUAGUCCCUGUCUCUUAUAA
rnacentral:rRNA from 1 species